ensembl:lncRNA
AAAAACCAACCAUAGUCUUGUUUAGUCUUUAUUUUUGUCUUUAUUAUUAUAAAAUACAAGUAUAUUUUGUGUAUUUAAAUGUUUUGGCAUUUUGCAGUAUAAAAGCUCCAGCUGAUUUACAGUUUUUCUCAUUUGCUAAGACACACUAAAUGAAACUGGGAUCCGCUUGAUCUUCAUCAUCACAUUAUUAGCACAGCAGAAGUCUUCUCUUGCAAAUGUUUUAACACUUUUUCAUUUGUUUCACACAUUUUUCACACCCUUUUUCAAAACAGUUACCACAGAUCUCAUUGAAAGCCCCCAAACUCUAUUGGAUUCACUGUGUUGAACAAAAGAAAAAAAUCUAUUCACAGCUGAUAGAAACUACUUGCAUAAUUAUAAAUCUCUAUGCACCUGUGUGAAACUCAUUUGCACAACUCUUCAAUCAGCAAUCAGUCCUCAUCCAUCUAUAAAAGAUGCCACCUCUGUGUUGCUAUUUGCAAGCAUGGAUCAAAGAGGCCAUAGGCACGGAAGGAGAGUAAGAGGCCAUGGCAGAGGGGCCCGAGGAAGAGGAGUUUGUAUGCGUGGUGGAGGAGCUGCAGCAGCAAGAGGACAAAAUCGAGCUCAAGUUUCAAAUGAAAUUCGGGCAACAAUUAUUGACCAUGUCAUCAAUCAUGGCUUGUCCUUUAGAAAGGCUGGACAAAGGGUCCAGCCCAUUCUGAGUCGGAGCACUGUGGCAUCUAUUGUCAGGCUUUUUUUCGAAUGAGAACAGGUAAUUCACAGUGUUACUGUAAUGUAUACCACUGUGUAUUUCAGCUUUACUGUAUUGCCCUGUUAGCAGAACAAACUGUGUCUACAGUAAUGCAGAUGUUUUAUCAAUCCCAUUUAUGUGACUUUCAUACAGUAAUGUCAAUUCUGACAUGCUUUUUGCUUUUACUUUAUAGAAUCCACACAUUGCCACACACUGGUGGCAGAGGAAAGAUAUUUAGUAUUGAACAGGAGUCUGCCAUUGUAGAUAUGGUAGUGGCAAACAAUGCAAUCAGACUGCGUGAAAUCCAGGCAGCAGUAAUUGCAGAUCAGGGAGCAUUUAGGAAUAUAAACAGUGUGAGUUUGGCAACUAUAGAUCGAGUCCUUAAACGAAACCAUGUCAGAAUGAAGCAGCUGUACAGAGUUCCAUUUCAAAGAAACUCUGACAUCGUAAAGGAGGCACGAUUCCAGUAUGUGCAGAGAAUAAUGGAGCUUGAAGCUGAAGGGGCACAUCACAAAUUCAUUUUUGUGGAUGAAGCCGGCUUCAACCUCUGUAAAGUGAGGCGACGCGGGAGGAACAUCAUUGGGCAGAGGGCCACUGUCACAGUGCCAGGUCAGAGGGGUGCCAAUAUCACCAUGUGUGCUGCCAUCUCCAAUGAUGGAGUCCUUUGCCACAUACCAACUAUUGGCCCAUACAAUACAGAACGCCUCAUCACAUUUCUUGAUGCAUUGAAAGACUUACUGAUUCCACCCGAAGAGAGAGGGCUGUUGAGGCCUGGCAUGACUCUGUAUGUCAUAAUUUGGGACAAUGUGGCUUUCCACCACUCUCGCCUUGUGAAUGAAUGGUUUGCAGCACAGCCUCGUAUUAUGAUACAAUUCCUCCCUGCAUACUUGCCUUUUCUGAACCCAAUCGAGGAGUUCUUCUCUGCUUGGAGGUGGAAGGUGUAUGAUCACCGGCCAUAUGAGCAGAUGCCCCUCCUGGAGGCAAUGAAUGCUGGUUGCCUGGCAAUAGGUGCAGAGGACUGCCAGGGAUGGAUACGCCAUGCAAGGAGGUAUUUCCCUCGGUGCAUUGCAAGGGAAAACAUUCAAUGCGAUGUUGAUGAGAACCUGUGGCAUAAUCGUCAAGAACGAAUGGACUAAAUGUGAAAGAUAAAAUGUAUAUAUCUUUCUUUUUAAAAAAAGCUAUUUCCACCCAUAAGUUUCCUUUGGUAGCUUUUUUUUUUUUCCAGUAUCCAUUUGAGUUUGUAAAGUAUCAUGUUUCAUAUUGAUGGCUGCAUUUUGUAUUUUGUUGUCCAUUGUGUAAUGAUUGAUUGAAAGAAUAAAUUAAUUUGACCACAAGUUGUGGUGUUUGAUGGAAAUAUUUGCUUAUGUUGCAUGUUUUUAAUGUUUUGUGAGUGUUAGAGCAUUUUGCUAACAAAAUGAGUCAUUUUGGCCAUUGAGCUUCAGUUUUAUCCUGUGUGUUAACGGUUUUGAAAAUGUGAUGUCAGAGUGGGCAAAUGUAUUUAAACAAUCGAGAAAAACUGUAAUACUUUUAAUUGUUUUCUGGGCAUGUUUGUUCAUUGUUUGUUCUAAAAAUAUAGCACGUUUGAUCACUCCCCUAGGCAAAUUCCUUAUAGCCUGCAGUUAAUAGGACCUUGAAUACACUGUAACGGUAAUCUCGGAAUCUCUUGAUAAGAAUGAAAGGGAUUAUUGUUUGUGCUUUACUGCUCUUCGAUCUUCAGAGUCUCACGUUUGCGUGUGGUUUGCUGUAGAAUGGUAAAAUGGAGUAAAACAAAGCAAUGACAUUAUACUGGAACAUGAAUACAUGAACUCUGAUGCAACUGUUGAGAGAGAAAUGAAAUGCUUUUUUGUUCUUUGUAAUUUCUUCUCUCCUAUUGUUU